CGGCAAAGAAGAAAAAGCCCGCAGCUGCCAAGUCCAAGCCUAAGCCUAAGCCCAAGCCCGCUGCGAAAGCCAAGGAUACUAAGGCAACUAAAUCGAAGGCACCAGCUAAGCCCAAGCCAGCUGCUAAGCCUAAAGCCAAAGCUCCAGCCAAGGCCAAACCCGCUGCUAAACCAAAGGCUUCUGCUGCUGCCAAGCCCAAGCCUGCUGCCGCCAAGCCCAAAGCCGCUAAACCAGCUGCCAAGUCCAAGCCUGCUGCUAAAACAAAGGCUGUUCCUGC
rnacentral:lncRNA from 1 species